rnacentral:rRNA from 1 species
GACGAACGCUGGCGGCGUGCCUAAUACAUGCAAGUCGAGCGAAGUUUUUCUGGUGCUUGCACUAGAAAAACUUAGCGGCGAACGGGUGAGUAACACGUAAAGAACCUGCCUCAUAGACUGGGACAACUAUUGGAAACGAUAGCUAAUACCGGAUAACAGUAUUUCUCGCAUGAGAGAUAUUUAAAAGUUGGUUAUGCUAACACUAUGAGAUGGCUUUGCGGUGCAUUAGCUAGUUGGUGGGGUAAAGGCCCACCAAGGCGACGAUGCAUAGCCGACCUGAGAGGGUGAUCGGCCACACGGGGACUGAGACACGGCCCAGACUCCUACGGGAGGCAGCAGUAGGGAAUCUUCCGCAAUGGGCGAAAGCCUGACGGAGCAACGCCGCGUGAGUGAAGAAGGAGUUCGGUUCGUAAAGCUCUGUUGUUAGGGAAGAAUGGAUAUGUAGUAACUAUACAUGUAAGAGACGGUACCUAGCCAGAAAGCCACGGCUAACUACGUG